rnacentral:lncRNA from 1 species
AAAAAGAUUAACAGAAUGUAUAAGAUUGACCAAGAAAAAGUAUAUAAGACUCAAAUUAUUAAAAUCAGAAAUUAAAGAGGGGACAUUACUACCAACCUUAAAGAAAUAAAAUGGAAUAUUAAAGAAAUAAAAUGGAAUACUACGAACAAUUGUAUGCCAACAAAUUAGAUAAUCUAGAUGAAAUUGUAGAGGUUCACUAAAUGAAAAUUUGGGGUUGGGGAGGGGGCUGAGGAGGAGCAGGGAUUGGGCACAUUUGUUUCCAAACAAAGCCCAUUUGCCUAGUCCAGGGGCUGUAGAUAGGGUCCUGGGAACCUGAGGUGUUGCCCAGGCUCUGCACCAACUAGCUGCAUCAUUUUAAGUCCUCCACCCUUUCUGAGCCUCAGUUUACCCGUCUUUAAAGUGCCAGGGUUGUUGGACUAGAUGAGGGUUUCCCAAAGUGUGGACUUACACCACUGUUGGAAUGGCAAUGCUGCUAUACACCAGGACCAGGAUGAGGAGAGGCAUUUCCUGUCCAAAUCUUUUUAGUCCUUUUGAUUACUUCCCGGCCAAAGUGUCAGCUUGGUGUUGGGUGUCCUCAGUGUGCCAUCAACAGUUGCUAGUCCCUCUGGAACUAGGGAGUAGAGGUCAGACCUUGAGCUCAGGGGCUCCCCAGACAACAGGACCCCACUGGAACGUAAUGGUCUUGCUCCAUCACCAUGUGCUAUUGUCAUAGCUACCUUCUGUUUACAGAAGGUGGUGGUGUAUUUUUUCAUUUACACUCACUUAAGUAGAGAAGUUAAAAAUACUAAGUGAGAAAAGCGUGUUGUAGGGCAGUGUGCAUUGCAUACUAAAAAUUGUCUUUGAAUUGGAAAAAUAUAUCAAAUACAUAUAGUUCAUAUUCGUUGAUGUAAAAUAAUAAUCAUGGCUUUGGGGGAGGGGCCGGGGUGGGAGACAGGAUGGGAGGCAGACUCCCCUGAAAGCACUUACUAAACUUUUGAUUUCUGAACCAUGUGAGCACAGCUCAGAUCCAAACAAAAAUUAAAUGUAAAAAUAAAUUAAAAAUUAAGACAACCAUGAAAUAAAUUAUAGUAAUGCUCACUCAUAAGGCAAAAAUCUCAAAGGUGGCACCCAACUGACUGAGACUGGGGAGACGCCGGGCUGGCUGGGGGCUGUAGUCCCCUCCAUCUCUGGCUGUGGUGGUGGGGCCGCAUUCCCGGGCACAAGGCCCACUCCCCACCCUCCACUGCCGCCUGGUUCCCAGCGGGUGCCCGGGCACAGCUCCCUCAGCCUGUAGGACUCCUAUCAGUGCACAAUGUCCUGUCUGUUUCUGGUGCCUGGUCAGGUUGGGCCUGCCCACACCAGACAUGCCCUUCAGACUCUAGAGGCCCCCACCUCACAGCAAACCCUGGGCUGGGACUUUGGCCUGAAGAUAGGAGCUGGCUGGAGUCAGUGUUCUUUGUGGGGACCUCCCCUUCCAGGACAGGCUGCCUCCUCCCUAAGUUGGUUUUCUUGUGUUUCCCCUAGAAGAUAAUAACAAACAGCACAGCUCUUCCGUGCACUGCUCUAAGCAUCCAUCUUAUAUUCACUCACUUCAUCUGCACAGCAGCUCCAAGAGGGAGUUCCCAUUAUCAUCAUCAUCUUCUUCAUCACCCCAUUUUCCAGGUGAGCACAUAGAGGCAGGCUAAAUACCUUGCUCGGAGGCCACACAUCUGAAAAGGCAGGGUCUGGAUUUGAACCCAGGCCCCCUAACCCUGAAUCCACCACAGAGCUGGGUACAGAGCCAAGGCUCUACAAGGCCCUUGAGUCUCAGCCCUUGGAGUUCCAGCUGGGGCACCACAGCCCAGAGAGGGAAGGACAAUGCACAAAGUCACACAGCCAGGAGGCCAGAUCCAGCCCUGCAUGGUGGAAUCCCUUGGAAAAGGCUGCCCCAUCCACAUGGAUGUAUUUGGUUGGUGCAAAAAUAAUUGCAGUUUUUGCCAUUACUUUAAUAGCAAAAACCACAAUUACUUUGUACCAACCUAAUAAUUUGUGCACCUGUUUUCUUGAGAGAGAGAGAGAGAGCGUGCGUGUCUGAGUCUAGUGAGCCUACCUAGCAGGUUCUGCUGCCAACAGUCCACUCCCCCACCCCACCCACAGCCCCUGCCCUCAUAGCCAGGCCCCCUCCCCGCAUUGUUCCCAUCUCACCUAAAAGAACAUGCACAUUUUUCUGCGGAAGACACACCUCUUUCCUUGCUGCAAUCCAAGGAGGGCGAGGGGACUGAAAAUAAAUUUAAAAAACACACACACACAGGCAGGCCAGAGAUUCAGAUCGGACAGAUGUUCUUAAGAGACCCAGUCGGGCAGCGGAAGAGGCUAAGGUUGAGGAUCAGUUGGACAGAUUGGGUCUCAGAGCCUGUUUUGUCAUCAGUAAACAGGGUUCCCAGCAUGUCUUUUGCAUAUCUAUUGUCAGGGUUAAACAAGAUUUAUGUAAAAUGGCCUAGCUCAGUGCCCAAUCCAGAGUAGGUGCUAAUAUGCAUGCAUUUCUUUUCUCUGUGCCUCAGUUUCAUCAUCUGCAAAGUGGGGAUAAUAACAACCUUCUUUUUGAGGUUUUCAGGAGGAUUAAAUGGAUUAAUAAUUGUCAAGCUCAUGAGAGGUGCCAUGUAAUCUGUGUGACCAAAUGUCUGGAUUUGCACCUGUCAUCCUGGGGUAGCUGUUAAUCAUGCCCCUGUUCAUUCCCAAAAUGCCCUAGCUUGGAGCAAAAACUAUUUAUGCCCUGAGUCAAACCAUUGGCCAAACGAAGAGUGAAUACAGAAGAGAACGUGGUCGCCAAAGCCACAUCCCCCCAUGCUGCUCAUCUGCACAGGCCCUUGUCACCCCAGCCUAUCCCUGUGUCUCUCCCAGGGCAGGGCUGCCCCUCACAGAGGAUCAGGAUCCUGAGAGGGUCAGGGGAGGACUCUGGGGCUGAGCAGCCUCAUUGUCACUUCCCAUUUUCACCAGGGUUAAAUUGCAGAGAUGGUUUCUCAGGCCACUCACUGCCCUCCCAGGUCCUGCAGUUCCCCGCUUCUGUCUCUUAGGCUGUCAUUCCAUCUUUUGCCUGGCUCCCAUACCCAAGGAUAAGGCAGACCCAGUGUUAUGUCUCUGGCUGGGCUCACUCUGGUUUCUUCUUGCCUCAGGCCUGCACAUAUUUCCAUUGCCUCUCUGGUUGGUGGACUCCUAAGCAUCCUUCAAAGGCCAGAUCAAAUGACCCCUCCCAAAAAAAAGCCUUCCUCUUUCCUCCUGGCAGAUAAUCGCUCCCUUCUCUGGGCCUUUCUCUGGGCUGGGCUCCCUCGCUGCUCUGAGAUCCACCACUUCCUAAGGAGAGUCGCCUAACCUCUCUGUCCCUCUGUUUCCUCAUCUGUGAAAUGGAAAUGAACAUAACAAGAUCUUCUUCCUAGGGCUGCUGUGAGAAUUAUAUAAGCUGGUACAUGUGAAGUACUUAGAAGCGUGCCUGGGGCAUGGUGAGCACAUAACUUGUUAUUAUUACACUCUAUUAACUAUCGUGAUAGUAAUCAUCCUCACUAUCACCCUCACAGCCCACCUCACACUGUCAUUGGUGGUUUUCCUGUCUGUCUCGCUUAUGAAUUGGGGAGUACAUACAAGGAUAGAGGCUGUGACCAUCUCUGGAUUCUCAGCCUGCAGCCCUGAGUUGGGCAGAAAAUAGAUCCAAAUGAAUGAGUUCAUGAAUAAUCAGAUCCCAGUCACCGGAUCCCUGGUCCUCCCUUUGAAAGGGAUGUCACUGAUAGGCCAGCCUGCUGUGGGAACCUGGGUUCUCUUGCAAAGCCGGGCCUGCCUCAGGAGCUCUUAGUUUUCCAACUAGGAACAUGGACCAUGAGCAGUGACCUAUUGAGCAACAAACCGCCCCCAAAUGGGGCAACCUAAAACACUGAUUUACCAUUACUUUCUAUUCUGUUAGUCAGCAAAUACAGGUAGGUUUCUGGCUGGUCUUGCCUGGACUCACCCAUGAAGCUCCAUUCAGCUGGGCUGAAAAUUUCAAGACACAAUGGGUGUUAGCUGUCUUCUGGAGUGACAGUUCCUCUCCCAUGGCCCCCACCCCAAAGGCCAACCAGGAUCCUCACACAGGGG